rnacentral:rRNA from 1 species
AGUUCGGAUUGAAGGCUGAAAUUCGCCUUCAUGAAGCCGGAAUUGCUAGUAAUGGCAGGUCAGCAUACUGCCGUGAAUACGUUCCCGGGCCUUGUACACACCGCCCGUCACACCAUGAGAGUUGGGGAUACCCGAAGCCUGUGAGCUAACUUUUAGAGGCAGCAGUCGAAGGUAGAAUCAAUGAUUGGGGUGAAGUCGUAACAAGGUACC